rnacentral:rRNA from 1 species
AUUGAACGCUGGCGGCAGGCCUACCACAUGCAAGUCGAGCGAGCGGCGGACGGGUGAGUAAUGUCUGGGAAACUGCCUGAUGGAGGGGGAUAACUACUGGAAACGGUAGCUAAUACCGCAUACCCUCAGAUGUGCCCAGAUGGGAUUAGCUCGUAGGUGGGGACACGGCCCACCUAGGCGACGAUCCCUAGCUGGUCUGCGAGGAUGACCAGCCACACUGGAACAUAGACACGGUCCAGACGCCUACGGGAGGCAGCAGUGGGGAAUAGUGCACAAUGGGCGCAAGCCUGAUGCAGCCAUGCCGCGUGUGUGAAGAAGGCCUUCGGGUUGUAAAGCACUUUCAGCGUGGAGGCGUUACCCGCAGAAGAAGCACCGGCUAACUCCGUGCCAGCAGCCGCGGUAUAC